rnacentral:rRNA from 1 species
CCUACGGGAGGCAGCAGUGAGGAAUAUUGGUCAAUGGUCGGGAGACUGAACCAGCCAAGCCGCGUGAGGGAUGAAGGUACAGCGUAUCGUAAACCUCUUUUGUCAGGGAACAAAGUCGGGGACGUGUGCCCGGAUGAGUGUACCUCAAGAACAAGCAUCGGCUAACUCCGUGCCAGCAGCCGCGGUAAUACGGGGGAUGCGGGGGUUAUCCGGAGUUAUUGGGUUUAAAGGGUGCGCAGGCGGACUGUUCAGUCAGCGGUAAAAGCCCGGGGCUCAACCCCGGCCCGCCGUUGAAACUGGCAGUCUCGAGUUGGAGAGAAGUAUGCGGAAUGCGCGGUGUAGCGGUGAAAUGCAUAGAUAUCGCGCAGAACUCCGAUUGCGAAGGCAGCAUGCCGGCUCCACACUGACGCUGAGGCACGAAAGCGUGGGUAUCGAACAGGAUUAGAUACCCCUGUAGUC